rnacentral:rRNA from 1 species
GACGAACGCUGGCGGCGUGCUUAACACAUGCAAGUCGAACGGAAAGGCCCUGCUUUUGUGGGGUGCUCGAGUGGCGAACGGGUGAGUAACACGUGAGUAACCUGCCCUUGACUUUGGGAUAACUUCAGGAAACUGGGGCUAAUACCGGAUAGGAGCUCCUGCUGCAUGGUGGGGGUUGGAAAGUUUCGGCGGUUGGGGAUGGACUCGCGGCUUAUCAGCUUGUUGGUGGGGUAGUGGCUUACCAAGGCUUUGACGGGUAGCCGGCCUGAGAGGAUGACCGGCCACAUUGGGACUGAGAUACGGCCCAGACUCCUACGGGAGGCAGCAGUGGGGAAUAUUGCACAAUGGGCGGAAGCCUGAUGCAGCAACGCCGCGUGCGGGAUGACGGCCUUCGGGUUGUAAACCGCUUUCGCCUGUGACGAAGCGUGAGUGACGGUAAUGGGUAAAGAAGCACCGGCUAACUACGUGCCAGCAGCCGCGGUGAUACGUAGGGUGCGAGCGUUGUCCGGAUUUAUUGGGCGUAAAGGGCUCGUAGGUGGUCGAUCGCGUCGGAAGUGUAAUCUUGGGGCUUAACCCUGAGCGUGCUUUCGAUACGGGUUGACUUGAGGAAGGUAGGGGAGAAUGGAAUUCCUGGUGGAGCGGUGGAAUGCGCAGAUAUCAGGAGGAACACCAGUGGCGAAGGCGGUUCUCUGGGCCUUUCCUGACGCUGAGGAGCGAAAGCGUGGGGAGCGAACAGGCUUAGAUACCCUGGUAGUCCACGCUGUAAACGGUGGGUACUAGGUGUGGGGUCCAUUCCACGGGUUCCGUGCCGUAGCUAACGCUUUAAGUACCCCGCCUGGGGAGUACGGCCGCAAGGCUAAAACUCAAAGGAAUUGACGGGGCCCCGCACAAGCGGCGGAGCAUGCGGAUUAAUUCGAUGCAACGCGUAGAACCUUACCUGGGUUUGACAUGGAUCGGGAGUGCUCAGAGAUGGGUGUGCCUCUUUUGGGGUCGGUUCACAGGUGGUGCAUGGCUGUCGUCAGCUCGUGUCGUGAGAUGUUGGGUUAAGUCCCGCAACGAGCGCAACCCUUGUUCACUGUUGCCAGCACGUUAUGGUGGGGACUCAGUGGAGACCGCCGGGGUCAACUCGGAGGAAGGUGGGGAUGACGUCAAGUCAUCAUGCCCCUUAUGUCCAGGGCUUCACGCAUGCUACAAUGGCUGGUACAGAGAGUGGCGAGCCUGUGAGGGUGAGCGAAUCUCGGAAAGCCGGUCUCAGUUCGGAUUGGGGUCUGCAACUCGACCUCAUGAAGUCGGAGUCGCUAGUAAUCGCAGAUCAGCAACGCUGCGGUGAAUACGUUCCCGGGGCUUGUACACACCGCCCGUCAAGUCAUGAAAGUUGGUAACACCCGAAGCCGGUGGCCUAACCGUUGUGGGGGAGCCGUCGAAGGUGGGACUGGUGAUUAGG